GAAGUACGCUGGGCAAUCGCGGUUGCGAAGCAAACGAGGAAAGUCCGAACACCAUAGGGCAGCGAGCCGGAUAACGUCCGGGACUUUGUAAAAGGGUGACGACAAGUGCAACAGAGAAUAUUCCAGCCUCGCAAGGGGUAAUGGGUGAAACGGUGAGGUAAGAGCUCACCGGCGUCGGUGGUAACAUCGGCGGCCAGGUAAACUCCUCGUGGUGCAAGAUCAAAUAGGGAAACGCAGAAGUGGGCUGCCCGCUUACUGUCCAAACCGAAAGGUGAGGCGGCGUUUCCGGGUAGAUCGCUUGAGCCGUCCGGUAACGGCCGGCCUAGAUGAAUGAUUGCCAUCUGCCGCAAGGCGGAUACAAAAUUCGGCUUACAGGCGUACUUCGAAU
rnacentral:RNase_P_RNA from 1 species